UGUGAUGCAUUUAUUUUACACAUCAUAUUUCCACUCCGUAUGAAUUAUAAAAUGCAUUAUUUCUACUUCUUGCCCCGACAGGAGAUUUUUUCCACGGAGAACUGCCUCCUGCCGACCUAUACAUCCUGGCUCGCAUCCUCCAUGACUGGCCGGAGGAAAAAAGUCUGACGCUUCUUAAGCGGAUCUGCGACGUCUGCAAACCAGGCGGUGGCGUGCUGGUGGUGGAGGUCACGCUACUGGAGAGCCGACGCGGCCCCGUCCAUGCGCAGCUCGCUUCGCUCAAUAUGCUGGUGCAGGCGGAGGGCCGCGAGCAUCCGCCUUCCAAGUACACCAGGAUGCUCCAAGAGAGCGGCUUCCGCGACGUGCAGCUGUGUCGCACGGGGAAAUACUACGACGCCAUCUUGGCUCUCAGAUAAGAACGCAGGAGACUUGGUUGAAGGAGCACCAUUCGGGAUUUAGCUGUUCCCUAGAAUAAAUGCAGAUUAUACACCAAGUUA